rnacentral:misc_RNA from 1 species
UUUAGGGAGACCUACACCCCUUACAUAUCGAAAAACACACAGUUAAAUAGAUAGUAAGUUGGUCUAACCUAGGUCGGUCGAGAAUUGGUAUAAAGCUUUCAAAGUAUUAAUGGUUCAGAAUAUGAAACAGAAUUAACAAUAUAGACAGUUCAGCAACAUGACAAAAUUUGUCAGACUGCUGAGUUAGUUCUCAGCCAGAACCUUGAAAACUGCAUAGUAACGCGAAAAUAGCAGGCAGACACAGACAUUCUGAAUGGAUGUUGUGAAUGCAAAUUGUGAAACACCAAAUAUUUGAAU